rnacentral:lncRNA from 1 species
AAGCAAUUCACGUUGGGGAGAGGGUGGCCUGGACUUUGGCCAGUAGGCAGUGGGAAUGAUUCAUCAGGGCUGGAUUUGAAGAACAAAGCUGAGAGGAGGGUGGAAGUAGGCCAGAAUCCAGCCCUGCCCACUGACUUUUUGUUCCUCCUUCUACCGCCAACCCCAUGUGCACCCACAGAGAAGCCCAGCCAUAGGAGCUCUCUGCUUCCCAGCUACACAUCAGAGGUGGGCAGUGAGCACUAGGAUGGAUCCUAUAGAUACCCAGGUCCUGAGGGACAGGAAUGCUGGCUGGCCUGGCUGGCCUGGCUGGCAGCCCCACCAAGGGGAAGCAAGCAGGGAAGAGGAUGGGCGAGAGCCAGGGAAAGAAUCAAGCCAGAGAUCACUUCUGUUUUCUCAGGGCUGCAGAGCUCCAAGGCAUGGAGGGCUGCGGUGAGGAGCUAGAAGAGGGUCUUGGAGUUCUGGCAGAGGAAGCCAGCUCAUCUGAAGAGGUGGAUGAGGAAGAAGAGCAAGUGGAGCAAGAAGCCCAUGAGCAAAGCCAAAAGAAACUGAUAGAGUUGGAACAGGCCUCCCAAGUCCUGCUGGCUGAGCUGUCUGAACUGGAAGCAAAAUGCGAGAUUGAAAGGUCCUGCAGAGAGCAGGCAGAGGUAUACGCUGCUCAGGUGAGUCAGGGUCCCCCUUUUGCCCCCACAGAAGGGCCUCUAGCCUCUUUCCUCCUCCACAGAAUGGUCUCUACCCCACUCUACCCCCACCCCAACCUCCGUCUUAGAGUCGGAAAACCUGGGUUCAAAUCUCACCUCAAACACUUUCCUGGCCUACAGGGACCCUGGGCAACCCGUCUCUCUCNGGGCGCUGAGCACUUGGGAAGCCCCGACUAUAUGCUGCUUUGCCCCGGGGAAGAGAAACCCCAAGAAUCCAACAGCCUCAGCUCUCAGGAAUCUCACAUUCCAACAGAAAAGGCCAUGAACAUGGAACAGUGUGGAAAGGCGGCGCCUCUGCUAGGAACAGGAGUUUGGAAAAGGGGUGGAAGGAUGUGA